rnacentral:rRNA from 1 species
GACGAACGCUGGCGGCGUGCCUAACACAUGCAAGUCGAGCGGAGUGCCAUAGCGGAAGUUUUCGGAUGGAAGCAGUGGUAUCUUAGCGGCGGACGGGUGAGUAACGCGUGAGCAACCUACCUAUCACAGGGGGAUAACGCAGCGAAAGUUGUGCUAAUACCGCAUAAGACCACAGAGGGGACAUCCCUUGGGGGUCAAAGGAGUAAUCCGGUGAGAGAUGGGCUCGCGUCUGAUUAGCUAGUUGGUGAGGUAACGGCCCACCAAGGCAACGAUCAGUAGCCGACCUGAGAGGGUGAUCGGCCACACUGGAACUGAGACACGGUCCAGACUCCUACGGGAGGCAGCAGUGGGGAAUAUUGGGCAAUGGGGGAAACCCUGACCCAGCAACGCCGCGUGAAGGAAGAAGGUUUUCGGAUCGUAAACUUCUAUCCCGGGUGAAGAUAAUGACGGUAGCCCGGAAGGAAGCCCCGGCUAACUACGUGCCAGCAGCCGCGGUAAUACGUAGGGGGCAAGCGUUGUCCGGAAUGAUUGGGCGUAAAGGGCGCGUAGGCGGCCUGUUAAGUCUGGAGUGAAAGUCCCGCUUUUAAGGUGGGAAUUGCUUUGGAAACUGAUGGGCUUGAGUGCAGGAGAGGUAAGUGGAAUUCCCGGUGUAGCGGUGAAAUGCGUAGAGAUCGGGAGGAACACCAGUGGCGAAGGCGACUUACUGGACUGUAACUGACGCUGAGGCGCGAAAGUGUGGGGAGCAAACAGGAUUAGAUACCCUGGUAGUCCACACUGUAAACGAUGAAUGCUAGGUGUAGGGGGUAUCGACCCCUUCUGUGCCGGAGUAAACACAAUAAGCAUUCCGCCUGGGGAGUACGGCCGCAAGGUUGAAACUCAAAGAAAUUGACGGGGGCCCGCACAAGCAGCGGAGCAUGUGGUUUAAUUCGAAGCAACGCGAAGAACCUUACCAGGGCUUGACAUCCACUUAAAACAUCAGAGAUGGUGUGUUUUCUUCGGAAAGAAGUGAGACAGGUGGUGCAUGGUUGUCGUCAGCUCGUGUCGUGAGAUGUUGGGUUAAGUCCCGCAACGAGCGCAACCCUUACCUUUAGUUGCUAACGCGUGAUGGCGAGCACUCUAGAGGGACCGCCGAGGUUAACUCGGAGGAAGGUGGGGAUGAUGUCAAAUCAUCAUGCCCCUUAUGUCCUGGGCUACACACGUGCUACAAUGGGCAGCACAAAGAGAGGCGAAGUCGUAAGGCGGAGCGGAACUCAAAAAGCUGUUCUCAGUUCGGAUCGUGGGCUGCAACCCGCCCACGUGAAGUCGGAGUUGCUAGUAAUCGCGAAUCAGCAUGUCGCGGUGAAUACGUUCCCGGGCCUUGUACACACCGCCCGUCACACCAUGGGAGUUGGGAGCACCCGAAGUCGGUGAGGUAACCGUAAGGAGCCAGCCGCCGAAGGUGAGAUCGAUGACUGGGGUG